UCGGGACCGGCACGUCGCAGGGUGUGCCGAUGAUUGGAUGCGAUUGCGAGGUCUGCCAUUCAACCGAUCCGCGCGAUCAGCGGUUGCGCUCCUCGAUCUAUGUCGAAACGCCGGAGUGCGCCUGGGUCGUGGAUACCGGAACCGAUUUUCGCACGCAGGCUUUGCGGGAAAACAUUCGCCGCCUCGAUGCGGUCGUCUUCACGCACUCCCAUACCGAUCACAUCAUGGGGUUCGACGAUCUCCGGCGUUUUUCGCACGAUUUGGGAUCAAUACCGGUCUACGCCUCCGCGGGAACGAUGCGCGAUCUUCAGCGCGUUUACGAAUUCGCCUUCAACGGUCUCAAUCGGUUCC
rnacentral:misc_RNA from 1 species